rnacentral:rRNA from 1 species
GAUGAACGCUAGCGGCAGGCCUAACACAUGCAAGUCGAGGGGCAGCACAGAAACAGCAAUGUUUUGGUGGCGACCGGCGGACGGGUGCGUAACGCGUAUGCAACCUACCUUUAACAGGGGGAUAACGGAGAGAAAUUUCCACUAAUACCCCAUAACAUCGAUCAAGGCAUCUUGAUUGGUUGAACACUCCGGUGGUUAAAGAUGGGCAUGCGUUGUAUUAGGUAGUUGGUGAGGUAAUGGCUCACCAAGCCUACGAUACAUAGGGGGACUGAGAGGUUAGCCCCCCACACUGGUACUGAGACACGGACCAGACUCCUACGGGAGGCAGCAGUGAGGGAUAUUGGUCAACGGGGGCAACCCUGAACCAGCCAUGCCGCGUGCAGGAAGACGGCUCUAUGAGUUGUAAACUGCUUUUAAACAGGGAUAAAGCACAGUAUGUAUACUGUGUUGAAGGUACUGUAAGAAUAAGGAUCGGCUAACUCCGUGCCAGCCGCCGCAGUAA